UUUUUUUUUUUUUUAAAUUAGGGUGGUUAAGCUCAUCACCUGUUUUUGGGGAGGGAUCUGCCCCAGUUUUGAACUCAGGGUAGCCAACACCACUGAUUCCAGCUAUUUAUCGUUAAAACUAUUUACUGUUAUUAAGCAGCAAAAUUAACUCCCCACUGCCUGGCACAGUGCUAAUGUAGACUGGAGGAGCAUCACCAGACCUAGUUAUCUGCAUUAUAAUUUAAAGCAGAAUAAAGUGGUGAUUCCAGAAAGACAAGGAUCCAAGCUAACUGCCAGGGUGAAGGCAUCAGGUCUAUCUAUACGAAGCCUCCACUGUUCAAUGAAACGGAAAGAAUCCAGCCUACUGUAAUACACAGUAUUAAGUCAUCAGUGUCUUUAGACACCAAGAAUAGGUACUUCUUGACAAAAUAUAUGCAAAGAUGGGAUAGCAUAAUAGCCUUGGAAAGCAGAGGGCUUAAGCAGAUCCUAGUACUCUGUGGCCACCUGCCAGUAACUCAGCCUAGAAUAGCUAGGCUGUCCAGUCAAGUGUGCCAGCUAAACAAAAAACAAUGCAAUCCUGCCUGCUCAUUAAUUAAUGACUUCGGUGAUUUUAUUGAAUGCAAAUUAAGGCUUCUCUGGUACAGAUAAUGAAACUUAGCAUGCCACUGUCCCUUUAGUUUGUCUGUGUACACCUACCUGCCCAUGUGCCUUUAUACAAAUUGACACAUACCACAUAGUGUGGAAGAACCCCACCCAGUAAAAUGAUAUGGCCCAUUGGGCUCACAUCUCUGAGAGGCAGAUGAGGUGCUGGUACUGAAAUUGUAACAGCUAUAUUCAGAUAUUACAACAUUAAAAAACAAAAAACAAGUGUGCCUACAGUCUGGGAUUAUCUAUGUAACCAGAGCUCUGCUUCCCAUCCAUUCAAAUCUCAGGGGGGGAAAAGUAUAUCAACCUUGGAGUCAGACGGAUUAAAGCCAGUUUGCCCUUUCUCUAGUCAGAUCUCUUUCCAGACACUGUAGUGGUCAGUCUUGGAGCUGCAUAACUGACAUAAGAUUGAAUUUAAAAAACAAUCUUUGUGGUAAAUGAGAGAUAGCUCUCAAGUAGCUCCCUGAAACAGUCAUUAUACAUUGGACCCAUGCAAAAAAGCAGUUUGGAGAUUCUCCAGAUCGAGUCCAGAGUGCCAUUUAAGCAACUAUUCUUGCUAGCUGUGCGUUAGUCAUCGUCACACUCCACCCAUCUUUCUACACUGGUCGUACCCAUUUUUUACCUUUGUCAUUUAUGGGGCUGAUAAAAGCUAUACCAGCGAUUCUCAGCUGGAGUCCCACAGCACCCUGGGUGCUGUGAAUGUGCAAACUUCUUCAAGUGUGCCACCCUGCCAUCAGGUGGAACUGCUCCACCACACUUCUUGUUUCCAGAAGAUGCCAUGCAGGGCUGGACUGGAAAGCGGCCGUGGCAGAAGGGGGCGCCCUUCUGCAGCCCGGCCUCAGGGGAAGAGUCCAGACCAGCAAUACCACCACCAUGGACAGGAUACAGAAACUUCGGAGGAUGACCUUUGGGAAGGAGUCACCCCAAAUUUAUACCAUCAUGAAAAAGAACAACAGUUGUCCCUUCAUGCUAACUGAGCCUGAUUAUCUCCUUGAUGCCUGCAUGGCUACAGCAGUUGGAUUUUCUUGCCACAAAUGAAAGGACUCAACCCACCCUGAAGGAUGAACUAAACUGUGAGAGCUUCAGUAUAACAUCUCCUGGAAGAACAAAGAAGAAAAGAAGCAGCAAGUUCACCCUCUAAACAAGUUUCUGUUUGUGCUGCUCCUCUUACCUCACAGCAGGCCACACAGAUGGAUAAGACACACACCUGUCAUUAUCUUCUCAGCUGCAGACCCACCAACCCAACAGGUUUCUCCUAAUGCUGCAGUUCUACAGACUGGCUAUGAAGAGAAUCACAGGCCUCUGUGGAAACCCCCAGAGGACUGACUGGUGGUUACAUGUUAGGACCCCUUAUCCAGCAAGGUGGUUGAAUUUCCAUCCCUGGAAGUGCCAGUCAGACAAACACUAGUUUGGGACAGCUUGGACACAGAGGCUCCCGCCUCAAGCAAAGGGUAGGACUAGAUGAUCUUCUGAGGUACCCUCCAGCUCUAUUUUUCUAUGAUUCUAUGACUUUCCCCUGAUAUCCACAUCCCAAGCAGGGGCAGCCCAGGUAAAAACCCUGGUAAAGUGUGUAAAGAGUGUAAAAGCCCUGGUCAAGUGCUCCAGCCAUUUGAUCUGCCUGGAGACAUCUCAGCUCUCUGAAGCCUCCAGCACCCUGGAGAAGGCAGCAUCUCAAAAGGUCCCAGAGGGCAAGAUGCACAGGAGGAAAGGAUAAAUGGCAAUAUCCAACACAGCAGAGAGGUCAGAGGAAGAGCUGGUGAGAAAGGGUCAGCAAGGACCCUAACAAGAGCCAUUUCAGGAGAGCAGGCUCAUUGGGAGACCAAGUGGAGUUGUCCAGGGUGGGGCAGGGGAGAGGAGUUCAAUCCAUGUGCUAAGGGGGAAGAAAAGAGAGAAAUGUUAUUAGGAUAAGCAGGUGUAGUCAAGGGCUGGCAUCUGAGGGCAAAUCAAACUGUAAUAUGCUUCCACUGUUAGGGGAAGGGACCAGGGGCCUAUCAGUGGCAGAGGAGGAGGCCAGAGUGGGGG